GGAGUAAGGAUCUACCCCUUUCCAGCCCUCAUUUAAGGGUUGGCAGUGGAGGCAAGGGGGUCUUGCUGGAAGCCCCUCUGUAUGCGAGGCCUUUUAAAGAUGGACAGACAGAGCUUGCUGUUCCCCUUUAGAGAGUGAGGAAGACUGUUAUUCUACAUGAGGCGUAUUAAUUACUGGCUCCCUGGGCACUGGGAUCUCUCUUUUCUCAUGGAGCUGCUGGAUUUCUGUGUCAAUGAUGUGUGUGGAAGAUGAAGUCCAGCAUCAGAGCCAGGCUAAAGAGAUGGAGAGCAGAAGGUGGAGAAAUGUGCCCAUAUCUGCACUGCAUUUGCUCCUUAAUCAGAGGAAUUGUGCCUUGAUUUGGGGGAGAGUUCUAAAUGAUUGGAGGAAGGUUGUUUGCAUCACCUGCCUUGUGCCUAUGUGCACAAUCCAUCUCUAGCUGGCUGAAAGGAUAAAGAAGUGAGCUGACAAAUGCCAACACUUUUUUUAGAGCACAUUAUAAGGUAAAGCCUAAAAUAAAUUUGUUAUUGUUUUCACGUACUUUGGACAUAGCUCUGUGCCCAGGAUAUGUAUCAAGAACAAUUCCUCUGCCUGCAGUCUAAAAAUGAGCUAUAGAGUACUUACUCCAACUGCCAGUUUCCUGGGAAAAAGGUUUGCCAUGACCAUCUAUUAUCUCAACUGCAAAAGAAAAGUAAACUCUUAACCACAUAUAAAAUUCAGCAAUUCUUUUCUAGCAAUAGGAGUUUGGCUUUGGUGAUAGUAAGUGUUGUUUUGUGAUUUAAUAGUUCACUACGUACUUUGCCUAUAAUCACAGAGUAAUAAAUAACUAUUGGCAAGAUGGAUAGCAGCUUGAUCCGAGAGGUAUGGAAGAGAUAAAGCAAUAGGCACAAAUGCACAAUUUGUAUUCAUAGUAAAUGGGUCUGAGCCGUGAAACAUGGAAAAAAAAACUGAUAUGAGAGCAUACAUUUGUUAGAUACCUCUGAUUUGGGAGAUGGUUAAAUGUCUACAUUCAUACUCGCUAGUUGCCUUUCUAGUUUAUAGGACUUGCUUUGUCCUAUAAACAUGGAAAAUCCCUUCCUGAAGUGUUAACUCUGAAUCUUAUGGAUCUGGACUACCCUCUGAAAGACCACACCAGCUUUUUGGACCCUAUUAAUCAGAAGUCUGUUUGCAUGCUGCCUCAUUCAACAUUCUCUGUAGUUGCUGGGAGUUUUGCUGACUUCUGAGUCACAAAGUGACACCUUCAGAUCUGUUUACAUUUGAUAUCGAGCCCUGUUAGACGUGGGUUUCACAUGAGGCAAAACCUUGACACCUGACACUUGUGCUCCUUCCUUCUUUCCUGUUGCUGAAGAAAUGGUUAUGUUCUAGUUUGCUGGCUACUCUCUCCCGAGUGACACAGCAGUUAAUAAAUGCAAUAUAUAAAUUA